rnacentral:tRNA from 1 species
GCGGGCAUAGUAUAGUGGCUAUUACACUUGGUUGCCAUCCAGGAGACCCGAGUUCGACUCUCGGUGUCCGCUCCA